rnacentral:tRNA from 1 species
UUGUAGCUCAGUGAUAGAGCAUGUGUUUAGCCUGCACAAAGCCCUAGGUUCGAUCCCCAGCAA